rnacentral:rRNA from 1 species
UACGGAGGAUGCGAGCGUUAUCCGGAUUUAUUGGGCGUAAAGCGAGCGCAGGCGGUUCAUUAAGUCUGAUGUGAAAGCCCCCGGCUCAACCGGGGAGGGUCAUUGGAAACUGGUGGACUUGAGUGCAGAAGAGGAGAGUGGAAUUCCAUGUGUAGCGGUGAAAUGCGUAGAUAUAUGGAGGAACACCAGUGGCGAAGGCGGCUCUCUGGUCUGUAACUGACGCUGAGGCUCGAAAGCGUGGGGAGCAAACAGGAUUAGAUACCCUGGUAGUCCACGCCGUAAACGAUGAGUGCUAAGUGUUGGAGGGUUUCCGCCCUUCAGUGCUGCAGCAAACGCAUUAAGCACUCCGCCUGGGGAGUACGACCGCAAGGUUGAA